GGUUAAGUGAAUAAGCGUACACGGUGGAUGCCUUGGCAGUCAGAGGCGAUGAAGGACGUACUAACCUGCGAAAAGCUGUGGGAAGCCGGUAAGAGGCGUUAGACCCGCAGAUGUCCGAAUGGGGAAACCCAGUGAGUUUACUCACUAUCCCAACAUGAAUACAUAGUGUUGGGAGGCAAACCGGGAGAACUGAAACAUCUAAGUACCCCGAGGAAAAGAAAUCAACCGAGAUUCCGUUAGUAGCGGCGAGCGAACGCGGAGUAGCCCUUAAGCUAAAUUAGUGUUAGUGGAAUACUCUGGAAAGGGUAGCGAUACAGGGUGAUAGCCCCGUACACGACAAUGCUUUUAUAGUGAAAACGAGUAGGACGGGACACGUGGUAUCCUGUUUGAACAUGGGGGGACCAUCCUCCAAGGCUAAAUACUCCUGACUGACCGAUAGUGAACCAGUACCGUGAGGGAAAGGCGAAAAGAACCCCUGUAAGGGGAGUGAAAUAGAACCUGAAACCGUGUACGUACAAGCAGUGGGAGCACCUUCGUGGUGUGACUGCGUACCUUUUGUAUAAUGGGUCAGCGACUUACAUUCUGUAGCGAGGUUAACCGAAUAGGGGAGCCGUAGGGAAACCGAGUCUUAACUGGGCGAAUAGUUGCAGGGUGUAGACCCGAAACCGGGCGAUCUAUCCAUGAGCAGGUUGAAGGUUGGGUAACACUAACUGGAGGACCGAACCCACAUCUGUUGAAAAAGAUGGGGAUGACUUGUGGAUCGGAGUGAAAGGCUAAUCAAGCUCGGAGAUAUCUGGUUCUCCUCGAAAGCUAUUUAGGUAGCGCCUCGAGCGAAUACCAUUGGGGGUAGAGCACUGUUUGGGCUAGGGGGUCAUCCCGACUUACCAACCCCAUGCAAACUCCGAAUACCAAUGAGUACUACUCGGGAGACACACGGCGGGUGCUAACGUCCGUCGUGAAAAGGGAAACAACCCAGACCGCCAGCUAAGGUCCCAAAGUAAUGAUUAAGUGGAAAACGAUGUGGGAAGGCAUAGACAGCUAGGAGGUUGGCUUAGAAGCAGCCACCCUUUAAAGAAAGCGUAAUAGCUCACUAGUCGAGUCGGCCUGCGCGGAAGAUGUAACGGGGCUAAAUCAUUCACCGAAGCUGCGGACUUGUGCUUGCACAAGUGGUAGAGGAGCGUUCUGUAAGCCUGUGAAGGUGACCCGGGAGGGUUGCUGGAGGUAUCAGAAGUGCGAAUGCUGACAUGAGUAACGAUAAGGGGAGUGAAAAACUUCCCCGCCGAAAGACCAAGGGUUCCUAUCCCAUGCUAAUCAGGGUAGGGUGAGUCGACCCCUAAGGCGAGGCUGAAAGGCGUAGUCGAUGGGAAACAGGUUAAUAUUCCUGUACCGACCAAUACUGCGAUGGGGGGACGGAGAAAGCUAGGCAAGCGCGGCGUUGGUAGUCCGCGUGAAAGUACGUAGGCAGAGAGAUUAGGUAAAUCCGGUUUCUUAUAUGCUGAGAUACGAGACGAGUUACUACGGUAACGAAGUUGCUAACGCUAUGCUUCCAGGAAAAGCCUCUAAGCUUCAGGUAUUGGAGAUCGUACCCUAAACCGACACAGGUGGUCAGGUAGAGCAUACCAAGGCGCUUGAGAGAACUCGGCUGAAGGAACUAGGCAAAAUAGUACCGUAACUUCGGGAGAAGGUACGCUCUUUGNNNNNNNNNNNNNNNNNNNNNNNNNNNNNNNNNNNNNNNNNNNNNNNNNNNNNNNNNNNNNNNNNNNNNNNNNNNNNNNNNNNNNNNNNNNNNNNNNNNNUGUGAAGGACUUGCUCCGUAAGCAGCGAAGAGUCGCAGUGACCAGCUGGCUGCAACUGUUUAUUAAAAACACAGCACUCUGCAAACUCGUAAGAGGACGUAUAGGGUGUGACACCUGCCCGGUGCCGGAAGGUUAAUUGAUGGGGUUAGCGCAAGCGAAGCUCUUGAUCGAAGCCCCGGUAAACGGCGGCCGUAACUAUAACGGUCCUAAGGUAGCGAAAUUCCUUGUCGGGUAAGUUCCGACCUGCACGAAUGGUGUAAUGAUGGCCAGGCUGUCUCCAGCCGAGACUCAGUGAAAUUGAAAUUGCGGUGAAGAUGCCGUAUACCCGCGGCUAGACGGAAAGACCCCGUGAACCUUUACUAUAGCUUGGCACUGAACAUUGACCCUACAUGUGUAGGAUAGGUGGGAGGCUUUGAAGUUUGGACGCUAGUCCAGAUGGAGCCGUCCUUGAAAUACCACCCUUGUAUGUUUGAUGUUCUAACGUAGGUCCCUGAAUCGGGAUUGCGGACAGUGUCUGGUGGGUAGUUUGACUGGGGCGGUCUCCUCCUAAAGAGUAACGGAGGAGCACGAAGGUUGGCUAAGUACGGUCGGACAUCGUACGGUUAGUGUAAUGGUAGAAGCCAGCUUAACUGCGAGACAGACACGUCGAGCAGGUACGAAAGUAGGUCAUAGUGAUCCGGUGGUUCUGUAUGGAAGGGCCAUCGCUCAACGGAUAAAAGGUACUCCGGGGAUAACAGGCUGAUACCGCCCAAGAGUUCAUAUCGACGGCGGUGUUUGGCACCUCGAUGUCGGCUCAUCACAUCCUGGGGCUGAAGUCGGUCCCAAGGGUAUGGCUGUUCGCCAUUUAAAGUGGUACGCGAGCUGGGUUUAGAACGUCGUGAGACAGUUCGGUCCCUAUCUGCCGUGGGCGUUGGAUGAUUGAGUGGAGUUGCUCCUAGUACGAGAGGACCGGAGUGAACGAACCGCUGGUGUUCGGGUUGUCAUGCCAAUGGCAUUGCCCGGUAGCUACGUUCGGAACGGAUAACCGCUGAAAGCAUCUAAGCGGGAAGCCGGCCACAAGAUGAGUCAUCCCUCAGACUUUAAGUCUGCUAAAGGGUCGUUGGAGACCACAACGUUGAUAGGUGAGGUGUGGAAGCGCAGUGAUGUGUUAAGCUAACUCAUACUAAUUGCCCGAGAGGCUUAACCAU
rnacentral:rRNA from 1 species